rnacentral:lncRNA from 1 species
CUCAAUGGAGUACGUAUGAGUAGUGUAACAGCCUUCCAUUCAAAACAAAAACAUUAGACAUGUGCUCUAAACCUGUUUUAUUGUACCAUGUGACUUUACUCAUUUAAAUAACUCUGGUCAUGUGAUUACUGAGCUUUCUGUAUUCAAUGAGAAAUACAAAAGCAUGCACACAUGACCAGAGUUAUUUAAAUGAGUAAAGUCACAUGGUACAAUAAAACAGGUUUAGAGCACAUGUCUAAUGUUUUUGUUUUGAAUGGAAGGCUGUUACACUACUCAUACGUACUCCAUUGAG